UGCAGGGGUAGCAAAGCUUGGUCAAAUGCGCAGGACUCAGAAUCCUGUCGGUUAGCCGUUCGAGGGUUCAAAUCCCUUCCCCUGCAUCC
rnacentral:tRNA from 1 species